UAACGAGUCGUCGUAACUAUUUGUACCGGAUCAGGCCACAUUACACAUUAUGCACAAGGGACGGCACACAAAUCACCUGGCUGAGCGCACGUACUUAGGAAUUGAUAAGAAUAAGCCGAUUUCGUCGCUUUAACAAAAUUUCCGAUUACGUUACAGGAUUGCAACGGAAAUCGGAGUGCGACAUGGAUUAUCAGUACGCCACGCGAAAGGCGACCGUUGCGGCCAUAAUAGCCUUCUCAGCCAACCACAUAGAUAAGCUGCUCCUAUAUAGCUAGCUACAUUUUACGGCGGUUUUUUUCCAACGUUACUAGAUUGCACUGAGGCCUGUCGGCCUCGACAAAACUGCGUCCGUAGUGAGGCGGUCAGAAGGAGCGGAGCCAAGAUCACAAGUAACUCCCGCUGAGCGCCGGACACCAUUGCCGUGACACUUCCCAAGCCCAGGGUAAAUAUCGUGGGUCCCUUACCAUUGCGCUACGGUGCCUGCAGCCAUACUUCGAUUCUCGGGCGCAACAGGCAGGCCGGUACAAACUGGUACAGGAGCCCCUGUACCGGCGGAUUAAGCGCUCGACAUCCGCCACCACGUUGACCUAAUCAUGAUGUACAGUCUCCACGCCUGGCUCACUGCUGAUCCAUUGCUAACCGUAGCUUAGGAUAUUACAGUCAUAGUGCGGCAACACGGCCCUUCCGGGGAGGACCGUACGGAACCAUAGGGCCGAUUCACACCGGUGGGCGGAUCUGGUUUCGGAGUUUCCGGAGCCUCCUUAUGCCAUGCCGAGCUUUGUCGUACCACGGCGGCCCCGAAAUGUUGGUUUCCAAGGACGUGAUGGAGCGAUCCGACACCAGAAGAUGCCAUAACCAUGUUCAUUAAAUUUAAAUAUAAUAAUGAUAUCAAAAUAAUUAUGUUAAUGCAAGGAAUUGCCACUUGUAUUUUUAUCUUUGUUUGGAAGAAGGUCGCGGAAGGUAGCAGAAGGGAUGCACAGUUGCCUUGUCGUGUCCCACGACAGGAGGACGCUGCGCCCCACACAACACCAAUAAAAGUCGCGUCGUGUGCCAAUGUAGGAGUGCGUCGCGCCCGUCGACGUUUUCAGGUCCCGGGGGUUCCUCAGCGGCUGUCUGCCGCGUGUGCCAGACAGCGGUGUACCCUCGCCAGCG
rnacentral:lncRNA from 1 species